rnacentral:rRNA from 1 species
UGGGGAAUUUUGGACAAUGGGGGAAACCCUGAUCCAGCCAUCCCGCGUGUGCGAUGAAGGCCUUCGGGUUGUAAAGCACUUUUGGCAGGAAAGAAACGUCGCGGGUUAAUACCCCGCGAAACUGACGGUACCUGCAGAAUAAGCACCGGCUAACUACGUGCCAGCAGCCGCGGUAAUACGUAGGGUGCAAGCGUUAAUCGGAAUUACUGGGCGUAAAGCGUGCGCAGGCGGUUCGGAAAGAAAGAUGUGAAAUCCCAGAGCUUAACUUUGGAACUGCAUUUUUAACUACCGGACUAGAGUGUGUCAGAGGGAGGUGGAAUUCCGCGUGUAGCAGUGAAAUGCGUAGAUAUGCGGAGGAACACCGAUGGCGAAGGCAGCCUCCUGGGAUAACACUGACGCUCAUGCACGAAAGCGCGGGGAGCAAACAGGAUUAGAUACCCUGGUAGUCCACGCCCUAAACGAUGUCAACUAGCUGUUGGGGCCUUCGGGCCUUGGUAGCGCAGCUAACGCGUGAAGUUGACCGCCUGGGGAGUACGGUCGCAAGAUUAAAA